GAAAGGGAGAGCAAGGAAGAAGGGUUUUAAACCCUUGAAUCCAUACAAACCACCAUAUCUCUUCCAUCCGAGCUCCGAUCGUCACACCGUUUGCAUCCACCGCGUUGAACUUUACGAAUCUACCAGAACAAUUUCAUAGGCUCAAUCUACCUUGUGGAGCUUGUUGGACUUGCCUCUCUUGAUCCGUGGGUACGGUAAGGAUUCUCAACCCUAAUUAAAUUCUUGAAUUUGUAUAUUGGGUAUUGAGUUUGGGUUUGAACUAUGUGAAUUAGGCUUGUAUAUGAGUAUAUUGAAGUUGAUUGAGUACAUUGGAGGUUUGGUGGAGUUUGGAAAACCUUGCCUUGAAGAUUUUGAACCUUGAGGAUUGCUUUGGGUGCCUUAGUGAUAUCUCGGGGUAUACGCGAAAAUCGACCAAAGUAUGAUUUAGAUUUUGCAUAUUUAAUAUAUAAUGUUUUGUGAAACCUUAGGUUAGAGGAUCAUAGGAUAAGUUGGAAUGAUUAAGCAUGAUGAAUGUUAGAGCUUGUAAUAAUGAUUAAUGACAUAGAUUGAGUAUGUGUUGUGGUAUUUGAUUAACGAUGGGUUGUUGGUAAGGAUGUUUGAGCAUAAUUGGUGAAUUGUUCAUAGUUUUGUUAUUUAAUGUAGGAAAUCUUGGAGCAAAAUUGUAUAAUGUUGAUGCUUGAUGGAUGAUA